rnacentral:misc_RNA from 1 species
GGAUGAUAUUGUGCGUCAAUUUAAAGGCGUUUCUGAUGGCUUGAUGCGUAAAGUUGUUGGCUCUCCUUCAUCUUCUUCUUAUGAACCUACUACCUCUACUUCAGACAUAAAUUUGUUUUGGAAUGUGGAGAAAUACAUAAACUGGCUUUAACACAAAGCAACUCUGAGUCAGUUAAUAGCUUCUCUUACAAUGAUAACGGUGAAAAGAUGGAAGCCACGGGGAUGAGGAAGUAGGACCUAGUUCAGAAGACAAUGGGUGGCAUUCGGACAAUGAGUUGAAUUCAAAAGGAUUUACCCCUUAGGUGGUUUAACGUGACGUAGAGCCAAUAAGUUCUGCGGUGGACUUGAAGAAUGGUUCUGUGCUCCAGCGUGAAUUCUUCAGUUCUGGAGGAUUCCCUGGAGACAAGUUUGGUAGUAGUUCCCAGUUAACAAGAGGUCCAGUUAACAAGGUAUCUCUUACUUCUUCCCCUGUUUCUACUUCUUUUGAAUGGUAUAUCUUCAUCCGAAAUUUAUUCUGCUGAAUACAUGAAGGAUGACCAAUAGACGUACUACAAGACAUCUGAACUUAGAAAUUGUUUCUUAUCAGAGGGCUGCUAGUAAAUAUAUAUGAGCUCA